AAACCAUGAUGAGAGCACUCUAAGAGGAGGUCUUUAAAACGUUCCAUGCAUCGAGAGAAUGAUUCGUUAGAUCGCUGGCGAAAUUAGAAAAUGUCGUUCCUAAGUUU
rfam:Cephalotus follicularis DNA, scaffold: scaffold1984, isolate: St1.